UGGGAACAUGUGACAUGGUGUGAUGUGGCUCUGUAAUCUGCUCACAACAUCAAAGGUGGAUCCACCUCCAUGAACAGUUUUUGCACUGGUUCUUUGACAAGGAAGAGAUCUGUCUUGCAUUCCCUGGACUCUGCUCUUCCCAGAACAUCACAGCCCUGUCCUGCACAUUUCCCCAUUUCUCGGGGCUCGGCCGUUGAGGGCCUAAUUCAUCCCACCACACAGGGGUUUACACCAAGACUUGGCCAAACAGAUGCAGAUCUCAGCAUCAUCUGGCACCUGGUGGGUUCAGUGUCUGGAGGAAGCUUCCAUGAGCAGCUUCUGGAAACACCACAGUGCUGCUCAGUGUCUCAGCACUCAGCCCCAGCUUGGACCAGGAUUUGGAACAUCCAAGUGGAAGACUGUUUUGAAGACAAGGCUCCAGCAUCAAACCUCCAAGGGUUCUCAUCAGGGGAUUAAUUCCUCCUUCUCAUCGUCAUCAGGAGUAUGCACUUGAGCCCUCUGUGUGGGAAAUAGACACCUCUCCUCUGUGUGGCAGAAACACCCAGACAAUGAUUACACCCAUCAUCUAAUGGAUGGACAUGUAUCCCAGCCAGUUGUACCUAGGAACAGAAUGCAGAUUUAUUAUUCCCAGUUGCAAGCACUAUCAGGAGCCCAAGGAAUUAUUGGAAUAUAUUUUACAAUGUAAUAAAUUGGAAUUAUUGGAAUUGUUGGAAUAUAUUUUGGAAUUAUUAUUAAAUUGAAAUUAUUACAUUAUAUUUUAUAAAGGGAUAAAGAGAUUGUAAGGGAAAUGCAACCUCAGAGGAAGAAGUUUGGACAUCAUGAAGACAACAAGCAGAGGUAUUUAGGAGGAUGCAUAUUAUGCUUAAACACAAGUCCAUCAGAGGCAGCUGAGUCCCAUGUCACAGAAUAAGUUCAUCUCUUGGUGUCAUUCUAUGAGAGCUAUGAAGAUUCACCUGAGGAUCCAUUGGGAAGGUUGGAAGUCAUGUUGUCAAAGGACUUGUCUGAGAAGAAAGACACAGGAUGACUGCUAGCCCAGUGCCGUGCAUGUGAACCUUGUCUGGAAAGGAGCCAUACUGCAAGACUCCAGCUCCAGGCUCAAGUGGGGCCCUCUUUGGCUCCUUGGUGGCACACAUGGGUACCUCCUAAGGCUCUUGUCUUGCCCUUGUCUUUUUCCUCACCUGCUCUCUGAGGCUCUUCACUCUGGGCAGGGUUAUGGUGGUUGCUGGUUGCUGCUGGUCAUUUCAGACAGACUUUUUAUUUCCCUCAAUGUUUCUGACCCUGCCCCAUCCUGGACAUGGCUAUAAAUGAUGUUCCUUCUUCAUGUCUUGUCACAGCUUUUGCUCUAUUUUCUCUCCCUCUCCCUCAGCCUCCAAAGUGCUUGGCAUAUGUCUUUCAUCUAUCUGGCUCCACGAGUAUGCAAUGGGCACAAAAGCUAAUUAGCAGCUGAUGGGUUUUAAAUGUAACCUCAUGGUGCAGCCAUGCCUUUAAUGUAAAUAAGGCAUGUGCCUUAUAAGAAUGAACAUGUGGAGUCCUUUGAGAGCACUUCAGAGGAGACCCACUUGCUGCUCUGGACAGGUAUGACCUCUGCAAAAAACCUCUGAAAUACUCAGAUGACUUAAUGUGUGCUAUUCACACACUGCUUUGAAAACUUCCCUCAGUGCUCAACUACUUGUAGCAGCAGAAGUGCAUGAAAAUGUGAAAAAUUAAAAAUUCACUAUGAAUCUUUUGAACAAGAUCGAUAGGUUCUAUAGGCAAAUUUGGAGGAGUUGGUCAAGUUUUUAGAUGGCAUCCAUUUCUGACACCCCUCUGGCCCUAUUUACUAAAAGAAAUUGAGUUCAAAGAAAGGCAGUAAAAUCAAGGAAAAGAUGCUUCUAAAGUGAAGCUAUUAACAAUAAAUAAAAUGAGAAAACAAAUCAGAAUAAAA